rnacentral:rRNA from 1 species
GAUGAACGCUAGCGGCGGGCCUAAUACAUGCAAGUCAAGGGGUAGCAAUACACCGUCGUAAGGGGGCGUAAGGCGUAUGGGAGCGGCCCUUAUCUUGGGGAUAACACGGGGAAACUCGAGUUAAUACCGCAUAAGAUAGUAGAAUGGCAUCAUUCAGCUAUUAAAGAUUUAUCGGAUCAGGAUGGCCAUGCGUAAGGUUAGAGAGUUGGUGGGGUAACGGCUCACCAAGUCUACGAUCUUUAGGGGCUCUGAGAGGAGAAUCCCCCACACUGGCACUGGGAUACGGGCCAGACUCCUACGGGAGGCAGCAGUAGGGAAUAUUGGGCAAUGGGCGGAAGCCUGACCCAGCCACGCCGCGUGCAGGAAGAAGGCCCUCUGGGUUGUAAACUGCUUUUGAUUGGGAAGAAAGCAUCUCAUGCGUGGGAUUUUGACGGUACCAAUCGAAUAAGCCACGGCUAACUACGUGCCAGCCGCCGCCGUAAGAC